GUGGUUGCUAUGGUUCCCACCAACAAUGAAGCAUAAAUCCAUUCCUAGAGGGUGGGGUCUGCAAGGAGAAGGACAUUGUCAUCUUCAUUAGAUUGUUUAUAUUCAGCUUGGUGUCAGACUAUUGUGAUGGACAUUCUCGGGGAAGGUGAUUUGCCGCACCACCAGGAUCUACAUCUCAUCGUGACUCUGGCCCGCAUCCCACUGAGCAACCCCAACUCCUCAUGGGAGUUCAUGGAAGCCACGGCCACCCAGCACUGCCACAGCAAGAAGGCUCAGGAGGUGCAUAACUGAUCUGCAGAUGAACCCAGCACCUACUCAGGUCUCUGUAGAUGGUCACCUUUCUUCUUGAGGAAUCGCCCCAGAACAGAGCACCAUAUUCCCCUAGGGCUGACUAUCACAUCUGUGGCUCAGUUGUCUCCAUCUGGACACUUCUCUGGAUGCAUCCUCUCUUCAGUUUUGGCUUCUAUUAAGUUUGUGACUGAGUCUCACUGUCGCCAGGCUACAGUGCAGUGGCGCGAUCUCAGCUCACUGCAACCUCCGACUCCCUGGUUUUAAGCGAUUCUCCUGCCUCAGCCUCCUGAGUAGCUGGGAUUACAGACACGCACCACCACGCUCAGUGUUAAGGAGGAACCCAAAUGGAAUCAAGGAGUGGAGCAUAAAAAUCGGUUUCUUAUGCCUCUGCACUUCACCUUUCUCCUGUUCAUCCCACUCUGCCAUCAUUGCCUGCUUGCCUCCGAAUUGCCCACGACAGUGCAGUCUGGGCACGGACCACACCUCCCAUGCAGCGGUGGCUUUGUGAUCUGUCCACCUGGGGGCUGAUUGGCGAGAGACCUCCUUCUGGCUGCCCAUGUUCAGAUGCACUUCAGGAAAUGGAACAAUUCCCACGCCGGUAGCCUCUAGUGAACUACUUUCUUAGGGAGAAGAACAGCAGGUGCGUGAGGAGACAUGCUCUGAGGACUAGCAGCGCCAGCACUGCCACCCAUGUGCCCUGAACCUUAACAGCUAAGAGAGUCGACUCUUUAGAAACCCAGGGGGAGCCUCAGAUACUCCACUCAGGAGGUGAGAGGCUUUGAUCAGAACAUCGGCACCUCUGUCUCUCCAUUCCCUAGUGGUAAAAUGGAAAUACUAAGGGCACGAGGACAAAGUGAGUUGACAAAUGCACAGAGUGCGGCGGUGUCUGGGUAGAGCAUGGGCUGAAUCAACGUGAACUCCUCAGUCCCCCUCCUGGGACGACGUCCUGCCACUCACCAU